CCCUAAAAAGUCCUUUAAACACAAAGG
rnacentral:tRNA from 23 species